rnacentral:lncRNA from 1 species
AUGACAGUGCUGGGCGAGGUGGUUGAAGCAGGGUUGCAGCACAGGUGUGUCGCUUCCUGGAGCUGUUCUGGGAUGGAUGUGUGGAGAAGCCAGGGAAAUGCCUAGACUCUCACACUGAAAAUUGCCUCUCUAGCUCUGUGGACCGCUUCAUUGACACCACUCUUACCAUCCCAGUCGGCUUGCCCAGAUUGUACAGAAAGGAGGGCAGUAG